UGAUCCAGCAAUGCCGCGUGAGUGAAGAAGGCCUUCGGGUUGUAAAGCUCUUUUGUCAGGGAAGAAACGGUGGGGGCUAAUAUCCCCCGCUAAUGACGGUACCUGAAGAAUAAGCACCGGCUAACUACGUGCCAGCAGCCGCGGUAAUACGUAGGGUGCAAGCGUUAAUCGGAAUUACUGGGCGUAAAGCGUGCGCAGGCGGUUUUGUAAGUCUGAUGUGAAAUCCCCGGGCUCAACCUGGGAAUUGCGUUGGAGACUGCAAGGCUAGAAUCUGGCAGAGGGGGGUAGAAUUCCACGUGUAGCAGUGAAAUGCGUAAAGAUGUGGAGGAACACCGAUGGCGAAGGCAGCCCCCUGGGUCAAGAUUGACGCUCAUGCACGAAAGCGUGGGGAGCAAACAGGAUUAGAUACCCUGGUAGUCCACGCCCUAAACGAUGUCUACUAGUUGUCGGGUUUUAAUUAACUUGGUAACGCAGCUAACGCGUGAAGUAGACCGCCUGGGGAGUACGGUCGCAAGAUUAAAACUCAAA
rnacentral:rRNA from 1 species